CAACUAACAAUCACCAAACAACUGGGUUAAUAUCUGGACAGAUCGGCCGUGCAAAACGUCUAGAAAACCCGUCUAUGUACCGGUGAGCAUUGUGCCGUACGAAGCCAACACCCAAAAUAAUUCUAAAAUCUGCUAUAAGUUUGUGUGGGGGCACAUCUGAUAAUGAAGCUUUAUGUCAAGAGUACUAAUAAGAUUUUGAAGAAAAUCUGACCCAGGCCUCCCUCUGGAGCUCUGAGGUAUCUACCAACGGCUGCUGUGCAAGAACAUGAUCAUCAAAAUCUGUCCAAUCGCCAAACUCUUCAGAAGUUUUGACUAGAAGUUUUUGGGAGCUUUCGGCAAGUACUGUUGCCGUUUAAGAGAGGAUUGGAAGAAAAUCUGACCCAGCCUUCAAAAUUUAAGCACAGGAUGACCAGCACCAACUGGUUCACAACAGAAUGUUGACUAUAAGUGUGACAGACAGUUUGAGAAACAAAAAAAAAUUGAACAGCAGUAACAACAGUUGAAAGGAAGCAGUACUCCAUCUUACAUACAGUAAUUUCAUUUUGCAAAUUCUCCCUCCAAUUGGGCACUGAAUUAUUUACCGACGGCUGCUGUGCAGAAACAUCAUCAUCAAAUCUUCACUAGAAACAAGCUGUUAAAUUGACCAACAAUUCAAGACAACCGGAAUACAAGUUUUGAGGACUUUCAGCAAGUAGCCUUUUGAAAGAGAUACUCACUACACAAGAGGUGAUCAGAGAGGUUUAGCUGUACCAGCGCUACAUAGUGCUUGACUGACUGUUGUUUGACUAUGUUUCUUGGUUUAAACAAUGCCCAAUUAGUCAGAGUAAACAUAAAGUUAGAAUAAAGUUAACUCAACCUUUAUGCAAAUGAAAAUUUACUAAAACACAAAAAAAAGAAUAGGGAUUUAACACAUCUUUAUUUUUUCCCUCUCGAUUGGACUAGUAACCUUUGUACAAAUUCUCCCUAAGAUUUCAAAUUUGAACAAGUUCUAAUAAUGUGGAAAGAUCCUUCAAGUUCUGUUUAAGGAAUUCCUCUUUGACUUAACCUUUUGG